rnacentral:rRNA from 1 species
CGUACCUUUUGUAUAAUGGGUCAGCGACUUAUAUUCUGUAGCAAGGUUAACCGUAUAGGGGAGCCGUAGGGAAACCGAGUCUUAACCGGGCGUUAAGUUGCAGGGUAUAGACCCGAAACCCGGUGAUCUAGCCAUGGGCAGGUUGAAGGUUGGGUAACACUAACUGGAGGACCGAACCGACUAAUGUUGAAAAAUUAGCGGAUGACCUGUGGCUGGGGGUGAAAGGCCAAUCAAACCGGGAGAUAGCUGGUUCUCCCCGAAAGCUAUUUAGGUAGCGCCUCGUGAAUUCAUCUCCGGGGGUAGAGCACUGUUUCGGCUAGGGGGCCAUCCCGGCUUACCAACCCGAUGCAAACUGCGAAUACCGGAGAAUGUUAUCACGGGAGACACACGGCGGGUGCUAACGUCCGUCGUGAAGAGGGAAACAACCCAGACCGCCAGCUAAGGUCCCAAAGUCAUGGUUAAGUGGGAAACGAUGUGGGAAGGCCCAGACAGCCAGGAUGUUGGCUUAGAAGCAGCCAUCAUUUAAAGAAAGCGUAAUAGCUCACUGGUCGAGUCGGCCUGCGCGGAAGAUGUAACGGGGCUAAACCAUGCACCGAAGCUGCGGCAGCGAACGUAUCACCCAAGACAACUUUACGGAGUUGACGAUUGACGGAGCGAAGCGACGUCAAAGCGUUCAUUAAAGUCGAGUUGGCUUAGGGAUACGUUCGUUGGGUAGGGGAGCGUUCUGUAAGCCUGUGAAGGUGUGUCGUGAGGCAUGCUGGAGGUAUCAGAAGUGCGAAUGCUGACAUAAGUAACGAUAAAGCGGGUGAAAAGCCCGCUCGCCGGAAGACCAAGGGUUCCUGUCCAACGUUAAUCGGGGCAGGGUGAGUCGACCCCUAAGGCGAGGCCGAAAGGCGUAGUCGAUGGGAAACGGGUUAAUAUUCCCGUACUUGGUGUUACUGCGAAGGGGGGACGGAGAAGGCUAUGUUGGCCGGGCGACGGUUGUCCCGGUUUAAGCGUGUAGGUGUGUGUUCCAGGUAAAUCCGGUUCACUUUAACACUGAGGCGUGACGACGAGGCACUACGGUGCUGAAGCAACAAAUGCCCUGCUUCCAGGAAAAGCCUCUAAGCAUCAGGUAACACGAAAUCGUACCCCAAACCGACACAGGUGGUCAGGUAGAGAAUACCAAGGCGCUUGAGAGAACUCGGGUGAAGGAACUAGGCAAAAUGGUGCCGUAACUUCGGGAGAAGGCACGCUGACACGUAGGUGAAGUGAUUUACUCAUGGAGCUGAAGUCAGUCGAAGAUACCAGCUGGCUGCAACUGUUUAUUAAAAACACAGCACUGUGCAAACACGAAAGUGGACGUAUACGGUGUGACGCCUGCCCGGUGCCGGAA